rnacentral:lncRNA from 7 species
CAAAAGGGUAAGGACUGCAUUGGGCCGCCAGAUUAGAAGUCUACGGUUCAGAUUAGACUAUACCAUUUUAUGAAUUCAUAUGCAUCCAUGGCCAUAGGAUCAAGGAUCCACGGCCCGAAACCAACCACGUCUACAUUUCAUCCCUGGUCCUCGAUCCCCCGAUCGACGAUUCAGAUACAAUGCGCUGAAAGGUUACUACUAUGCUCAAUCUGAGCCGUCCAACUGGGUGUCAACUCCAAGAGACCCUCUUCCACCCACGUUAGCAGACUAGGAGGCGCCACCAGUACGGCGACGACGAACGCCGGUGAGCCCUCCCGACUCACGCACUCACCCUAAUCCCAUAAUCGAACGCGGAUACACUAUGUGUACACCAAUGCGAAUUACAUGGAGAAGUCCUUACCGUGCGCCACGCGAGCAGGAGCACUGACCACGGCGGAGGGCGGAAUUGCGGUGGUUCCUCUACUUCGGCGAGAAAUUGCCGCGCGACUGCCCAAGUUCUGGGGGGUAAGGUCAUGACACCAUUGGGACACCUCUACGACCCUCCCAAGCCAUCUAUCGAGGACAGAGCGACUCUGGACACAAGCCGUCGACGGCGCUCUUCCGCUUUUCUCUCUUCCUGCCGCUCCCGAGCUCCGACUGCGUCACUCCCCUCCCGAUCUCUCUCUCACGCUCGGUCGCGGGUAGCAUGCGUUGAUGGGAGGAAAAGACGGCAGCCCAAGCGCCCAGUCUUAUAGCCCCGAGGAAGGCCGGGCGAGGAUUCCGCCGGUGCCCACCAUCAUCGCGCGGUCGUUGCGGUG